rnacentral:rRNA from 2 species
CCAGCAACUUGGAGGAAUGUAUAGCAAUAGCUGAUUGCACCAACAAAUGGUUGAUGCAAUAUUGACUCUGUCAAAUAAAAUUCUAGGUAGAAUUAUGAUAAUGACAUUGUCUGCCUAUAUGUCUUGACCAAAUUACGUGCCAGCAGUCGCGGUAAUACGUAGAAGACUAGUGUUAUUCAUCUUUAAUAGGUUUAAAGGGUACCUAGACGGUAAAUCAAGCCUUCACAGGGACUAAUUUACUAGAGUUACUUACGAGGGGGUAUUAAAGUACUGCAGGUGUAGAGAUGAAAUUCUGUCAUACCUCUUUUCAAAAGAAAAAUUAUGGCACAGGUAUAGGUGAAAGCAUCCCCUUAUGUGAUAACUGACGUUGAAGGACGAAGGCUUUGUGUCGCGAACAGGAUUAGAUACCCCAGUAGUCAAAGCAGAAAAUGAUGAAUGUCAUAGAUUAGAUAUAUAGUUUAUUCUAUAAAUGAAAAUGUAAGCAUUCCACCUCAAGAGUAAUUUGGCAACAUUGGAACUGAAAUCAUUAGACCGUUUCUGAAACCAGUAGUGAAGUAUGUUGUUUAAUUUGAUGAUCCGCAAAAAACCUUACCACAAUUUGAAUAUUUGUAUCUAUCUUUUUGUACGUAAAAAAAUAAAAAGGUAAUAUAUUUACAAGCGUUGCACGGCUGUCUUCAGUUAAUGUCGCGAGACUUUGGUUAGUUCCAUUUAAUUAACGUAAACCCUUACUUUAUUUUUAUAUGAAGUAGUUCCCCGCUAUAUUGGAUAUGAUAACAGGGACUAGGACAAGUCAUCAUGG